UGUAACACUGAACAAGGAUACUACUGGUUUA
rnacentral:piRNA from 1 species